rnacentral:rRNA from 1 species
UACGUAGGGUGCAAGCGUUGUCCGGAAUUAUUGGGCGUAAAGAGUUCGUAGGCGGUUUGUCGCGUCCGUUGUGAAAGCUUGGGGCUCAACCCCAGGUCUGCAGUGGAUACGGGCAGGCUAGAGUCAGGUAGGGGAGAACGGAAUUCCUGGUGUAGCGGUGAAAUGCGCAGAUAUCAGGAGGAACACCGGUGGCGAAGGCGGGUCUCUGGGCCGUAACUGACGCUGAGGAGCGAAAGCUAGGGGAGCAAACGGG